GGUGUACAACAUGAUAUUUUGAAGUAUGUGUACCAUGUGGCUCAGGUAAAUCAGGCCCAGGAAAGUCACCUCUUUUUGUGGUGAAAUGACUUAAAUCUGAUGCUAGGCUUUGUUGCCGAGAGAUCUGUCUCUUGAACUGAUUCUUCCUAAUGCGUCACAGGGUUCUUGUGGCCUUUUCCCACGAUGUGACUAACGUUCGAGGUUCGCCCGGUAAGAAGUGAGCUCCAGGGGUUACCGCGGAGCAGCACCCUUCCCAGGAUCUCUACAAACUCACACUCAAGGGAAAUCCACUGCUCCGGCUCAGAUCAGCUUCCUGAAUUUCCAGUUCCCACCAGGAUUCACUCAUGUAGAGCAACAUCCUGAUGAUGGAAUCUAACUGUCACCAUCCCUCAGGCAAUCGGCCUCUAAACACAACAACCAAAUGAAGUUUCCACCUUCUUCAUACCUCAUGAAGAGGACUAGCUUC
rnacentral:lncRNA from 1 species